CCUCAUCUCCCACUAACCUCACAAUCCCAUCUCGAACUCCACCGCGCCUCCACUCCCGCCCCGCCCCAUCUUACCGAUGCGUUCGAGCAGGGCGCCGCCGUCGCGCGUGGCCGCGCGGCCAGUUUUCUUCUCUGUCUAUCCGUUCUGGGGGCGCUCGACAUCGCCGUGCCGCCGAUCUGCCGGCUUCUCCGGAACUCCGUUUGUCAGCAUCUUCUCCACCCCUUGGUGAUGAGCGGCUGAGCCAAGGAGCGGAGUCAGGCGCCGCCGCGCGUACAUGCCGCGUUCGUGCGAGAGUGGGGACGGUCUGACAGGGGAUGCAGACUUGGCUGGGGAACAAGAGCACGCGAAGCUAGGAGCAGGGGCCGAUCGAUGGGCAGCGCGAGGACCUCCUACUGGUUCUACAUGUUCCUCUCUCUGCCUAUCCAUUACAAGCAUAGAGGUGAACUCAUGGUUGUAUUGAUAGGUGAUUUAAAGUGCGUGGUUGUGAGGAAAUCAGUAUAAAAUCGUUGUUGUCGGAGUUCCCUUGGAACUGCGCAGAAGAUGGGGUGAUGGAUUCAGUGUCAAGAUUCAAUGAAGAUCCAUCUGUUCGUGGCCUGCUUGUUCACCCACUAUUACCACAAGCAAUGUAUUUUACUUUUCUGGAUGCAGCCCUAGAAAGGAAUUAUGUUUGGUUUAGUUCAUAGAAAGAUAUAUCAUAAAAUCCUUUUUGUUUACAUACUAACUGAAUAAUACGAAGUAUUUUAGUUCUCAUGGUAAUAGACAAGCAACUUCAGUAGUAUUUGAUUUGAGUUUUUGUUUUUAAGUAUAUGUUUGCUCAAGAUUCAACUUUCUUUAUGUCCAUGUUUUGCUGGUAUAAUGCAUCAUCAAGCUUUGUUUUAUAUGAUGACAUUGUGUAAAUCAGCAUAUGGAUGAGGAAAGUAUUCUGAGCGCAGAUGCUCGCCGCCGCCACUGCUUCCGACAAUGUGUGAGCCGCCUAAUCGAGCGAGGAUUCGCCGCUCAUCCUAAGAGGACUCGCCGCUCUUCCAUGACGCCGCCGCUGCAACGCGGCGUUGUUCCAGCACCAAAUCGCAGAUGCAUCUUUGCAAAUCCAACAAAGUGGUGGGAAUAUCUACAACAUGAAGUUUCUCAAGCUGAUAGGGCAUUCUUCUGCAUGUUUGUGACAUGAUCAUGGUGCGCAUAUAUUUAAUAGUGAAGGUCUUCGGCUAUCACUAUGAAUGGUUCUGCUGUUGUGUAAGUGAUUUCUUAAGUGUUGUGUUGUAACACAUUAGAGUAAAAGAUUAAUUGUGUAUGAAGAAUAAUAUUGUGGAGUCAGGCAGAAUUUGACCUUAGUUCUGACCAAAUUAAUCUUUAUUUGUUUGCUAGGUUGUGUGUCAAACAUCACUUCGUGUUGUAGUGCAUUUUUUCCUUUCAGAAUCCACAUUAUGCAAUUUGGCUUUAUAAGAAGUUUCACUUUAUUAUUAGUGGAGAACGGGAGAUAAGGAAAGGGAAGGGAAAAACAGUAAUUCUAGCAACUAGCCAUUGUUCCAUGGCAAAACACAGGUGUUUGUUCUAUUAUGUUCAUCGGAAGUCUUUACGGAGGAGUUGGGUCUGGGUGAGUGACAUAGAUUUGCUUGAGAUCACGAAUUCUUUUCUGCUGUUACUUGCAUCUUACUUGAAUUUUUUUUCUUCAAGUUCUUCAUGUUUUCCCAUAUCGUCUGCUCUAUAGAAGCUGCUACCUCAAAUUAAGUAAGUGCAUCCUUCUUUUUUGUCCAAGUUUGUUCUAUUCUAUUACUCAGAAGUCUGUACAAGACUGAGAGAGUGAAGCAUAUUUGCUUGAGAUUUGAAUUAUUUUUUGAUGUCAGGUUUGUAUGCUGUACUGUUUGAUUAAUGAAAACUGAUAAAAGUAGUGGCAAACACUUGAUUGAGUAUGUUACUGGAUUUUACCAGUCAUACACAGUUGUUUCUUGCAAUAUUAUCUGCAUGACAAGAAACACCCAUAUUUGAUUUUGCUCUGUGAUUGGUUCAAAUAUCACUUUUUGGGCUAAAGCUGAUUGGAUACGAGUAGUAGUGUCAACAGUAAUAACUUGAAACAUGAUUUUAUCAUGGCUCUAAAUUUUAUUGCUGAUGAUUUCUUUCAGGAUAUUUGUAGAGGCUAUUUGCACCGUAGUUCAAGGCAGAUGAUAGAGUACAGGCUAGGCAACUCACUUAUAUUGGUACUCGUUUAAAUGGUUAUCUAUUCUGCCGGCAUAGUUACAUGCCAUAUUAAUUUCAGAAGAACAAUUUCUAAUCUAGUGUUGUGCUUGCAUGCAUUGUUAUGUCUAAAAAGAAACGCAGACGCCUCGCCGCUCGAUAAAAAGAAAAAAAGGAAAGGAAAUAACCCACGACCGCGCACCUCAUCUCCCACUAACCUCACAAUCCCAUCUCGAACUCCACCGCGCCUCCACUCCCGCCCCGCCCCAUCUUACCGAUGCGUUCGAGUAGGGCGCCACCGCCGCGCGUGGCCGCGCGGCCAGUUUUCUUCUCUCUCUAUCCGUUCUGGGGGCGCUCGACAUCGCCGUGCCGCCGAUCUGCCGGCUUCUCUGGAACUCCGUUUGUCAGCAUCUUCUCCACCCCUUGGUGAUGAGCGGCUGAGCCAAGGAGCGGAGUCAGGCGCCGCCGCGCGUACAUGCCGCGUUCGUGCGAGAGUGGGGACGGUCUGACAGGGGAUGCAGACUUGGUUGGGGAACAAGAGCACGCGAAGCUAGGAGCAGGGGCCGAUCGAUGGGCAGCGCGAGGACCUCCUACUGGUUCUACAUGUUCCUCUCUCUGCCUAUCCAUUACAAGCAUAGAGGUGAACUCAUGGUUGUAUUGAUAGGUGAUUUAAAGUGCGUGGUUGUGAGGAAAUCAGUAUAAAAUCGUUGUUGUCGGAGUUCCCUUGGAACUGCGCAGAAGAUGGGGUGAUGGAUUCAGUGUCAAGAUUCAAUGAAGAUCCAUCUGUUCGUGGCCUGCUUGUUCACCCACUACUACCACAAGCAAUGUAUUUUACUUUUCUAGAUGCAGCCCUAGAAAGGAAUUAUGUUUGGUUUAGUUCAUAGAAAGAUAUAUCAUAAAAUCCUUUUUGUUUACAUACUAACUGAAUAAUACGAAGUAUUUUAGUUCUCAUGGUAAUAGACAAGCAACUUCAGUAGUAUUUGAUUUGAGUUUUUGUUUUUAAGUAUAUGUUUGCUCAAGAUUCAACUUUCUUUAUGUCCAUGUUUUGCUGGUAUAAUGCAUCAUCAAGCUUUGUUUUAUAUGAUGACAUUGUGUAAAUCAGCAUAUGGAUGAGGAAAGUAUUCUGAGCGCAGAUGCUCGCCGCCGCCACUGCUUCCGACAAUGUGUGAGCCGCCUAAUCGAGCGAGGAUUCGCCGCUCAUCCUAAGAGGACUCGCCGCUCUUCCAUGACGCCGCCGCUGCAACGCGGCGUUGUUCCAGCACCAAAUCGCAGAUGCAUCUUUGCAAAUCCAACAAAGUGGUGGGAAUAUCUACAACAUGAAGUUUCUCAAGCUGAUAGGGCAUUCUUCUGCAUGUUUGUGACAUGAUCAUGGUGCGCAUAUAUUUAAUAGUGAAGGUCUUCGGCUAUCACUAUGAAUGGUUCUGCUGUUGUGUAAGUGAUUUCUUAAGUGUUGUGUUGUAACACAUUAGAGUAAAAGAUUAAUUGUGUAUGAAGAAUAAUAUUGUGGAGUCAGGCAGAAUUUGACCUUAGUUCUGACCAAAUUAAUCUUUAUUUGUUUGCUAGGUUGUGUGUCAAACAUCACUUCGUGUUGUAGUGCAUUUUUUCCUUUCAGAAUCCACAUUAUGCAAUUUGGCUUUAUAAGAAGUUUCACUUUAUUAUUAGUGGAGAACGGGAGAUAAGGAAAGGGAAGGGAAAAACAGUAAUUCUAGCAACUAGCCAUUGUUCCAUGGCAAAACACAGGUGUUUGUUCUAUUAUGUUCAUCGGAAGUCUUUACGGAGGAGUUGGGUCUGGGUGAGUGACAUAGAUUUGCUUGAGAUCACGAAUUCUUUUCUGCUGUUACUUGCAUCUUACUUGAAUUUUUUUUCUUCAAGUUCUUCAUGUUUUCCCAUAUCGUCUGCUCUAUAGAAGCUGCUACCUCAAAUUAAGUAAGUGCAUCCUUCUUUUUUGUCCAAGUUUGUUCUAUUCUAUUACUCAGAAGUCUGUACAAGACUGAGAGAGUGAAGCAUAUUUGCUUGAGAUUUGAAUUAUUUUUUGAUGUCAGGUUUGUAUGUUGUACUGUU